CGGAGGCCCAGAUAGCAGGUCUCGGGGUUGUCAGGAGUUAACUCAGCCUAGAGUUGACCUGGGAGGUGUUUCAACAUGGAGAAAAUAAGAAUGCAGAAAGGGAAUGGGUUUAGGAACAGACUGGAUCUGAACUGUCCCAGCCAUGUUUACCAAUGAAGAGUGUGAAAAGAAAAACCUGGCCUGGAAUUUUUAAAGGAGCACAGAGUCCUCACCCCUAGCAUCCUUUGUAGGAAGCAUGGGCCAAAGAGAAGAAUAGAGUCACUGCUCUUCAUGUUGUAUGUGGAUAAAACUCAC
rnacentral:lncRNA from 1 species